UUUCCCUCUCCCCAAAUCCCCCAGAAACGGUCUGACUCAUCCCAGCGGGUCACCGUGGUGCAAUGCUCCGCUCUUUGGCACCUACGAGCAGCAUCCUGGGUGUUGGGGUUAAGGGUGAACGGCACAGACACAGACCCCGUCUUCAUUGGAAGAUGGAAACUAAGCAGGCAAAAGACCCACCAAGAGCUUCUGGCCUGAGUUCAUCCCAUCCCACCAUCUCUGGACCGUGGAGGAAAGGAGCAUUCCAAUCAGACAUGGCCAUCAUCUUACUCAGCUUAGGGCCACAGACUGCAGCCUCACUUCAUGCUCCUGCAUUGCGACCUGCGGCUUAUUAGCACGCCUGUUUUACAGAUGGGAAAACUGAGGUUCAAAGAAGCCACAGGGCAUAUAAAAGCCGAUCCGGAAUGUAUGCCCACGUACUCGGGCUCCAGAA